AUACGGGGGGUGCGAGCGUUAAUCGGAAUUACUGGGCGUAAAGGGUGCGUAGGCGGCUUGAUAAGUCGGAUGUGAAAGCCCCGGGCUUAACCUGGGAAUUGCAUUCGAUACUGUCAGGCUAGAGUAUGUCAGAGGUUGGCGGAAUUCCUGGUGUAGCGGUGAAAUGCGUAGAUAUCAGGAGGAACACCAGUGGCGAAGGCGGCUAACUGGGGCAAUACUGACGCUGAGGCACGAAAGCGUGGGGAGCGAACAGGAUUAGAAACCCUUGUAGUCC
rnacentral:rRNA from 1 species